GACGAACGCUGGCGGCGUGCCUAAUACAUGCAAGUCGAGCGGACCGAACAGGAGCUUGCUCUUGUUCGGUUAGCGGCGGACGGGUGAGUAACACGUGGGUAACCUGCCCGUAAGACCGGGAUAACUCCGGGAAACCGGAGCUAAUACCGGAUAACACCGAGGACCGCAUGGUCUUUGGUUGAAAGGCGGCUUCGGCUGCCACUUACGGAUGGGCCCGCGGCGCAUUAGCUAGUUGGUGAGGUAACGGCUCACCAAGGCGACGAUGCGUAGCCGGCCUGAGAGGGUGACCGGCCACACUGGGACUGAGACACGGCCCAGACUCCUACGGGAGGCAGCAGUAGGGAAUCUUCCGCAAUGGACGAAAGUCUGACGGAGCGACGCCGCGGGAGCGAAGAAGGUCUUCGGAUCGUAAAGCUCUGUUGUUAGGGAAGAAGAAGCGUCGUUCGAACAGGGCGGCGCGGUGACGGUACCUAACGAGAAAGCCCCGGCUAACUACGUG
rnacentral:rRNA from 1 species